rnacentral:siRNA from 1 species
ACACACCAGAACUGUGGCCAUCUC